rnacentral:rRNA from 1 species
CCUACGUGGGGCAGCAGUGGGGAAUAUUGCACAAUGGGCGAAAGCCUGAUGCAGCAACGCCGCGUGAAUGAAGAAGGGUUUCGGCUCGUAAACUUCUAUCAACAGGGACGAAAGACUUGACGGUACCUGCAUAAGAAGUCCCGGCUAACUACGGGCCAGCAGCCGCGGUAACACGUAGGGGGCAAGCGUUAUCCGGACUUACGGGGUGUAAAGGGUGAGUAGGCGGCAUGGUAGGACAGAUGUGAAAGCCUUGGGCUUAACCUGAGGAUUGCGUUUGGAACUAGCGAACUAGAGUGCAGGGGAGGAAAGCGGAAUUCCUAGUGUAGCGGUGAAAUGCGUAGAUAUUAGGAAGAACACCGGUGGCGAAGGCGGCUUACUGGACUGAAACUGACGUUGAGGCACGAAAGCGUGGGGAGCGAACAGGAUUAGAUACCCUUGUAGUC